rnacentral:rRNA from 1 species
UCACCAGACUCCUACGGGAGGCAGCAGUCGGGAAUAUUGCACAAUGGAGGAAACUCUGAUGCAGUGACACCGCGUAUAGGAAGAAGGUUUUCGGAUUGUAAACUAUUUUAGACAGGGAAGAAAAAAGACAGUACCUGUAGAAUAAGCUCCGGCUAACUACGUGCCAGCAGCCGCGGUAAUACGUAGGGGGCAAGCGUUAUCCGGAUUCACUGGGUGUAAAGGGAGCGUAGACGGCGAUGCAAGCCAGAUGUGAAAGCCCGGGGCUCAACCCCGGGACUGCAUUUGGAACUGUGUGGCUGGAGUGUCGGAGAGGCAGGCGGAAUUCCUAGUGUAGCGGUGAAAUGCGUAGAUAUUAGGAGGAACACCAGUGGCGAAGGCGGCCUGCUGGACGAUGACUGACGUUGAGGCUCGAAAGCGUGGGGAGCAAACAGGAUUAGAUACCCCUGUA